rnacentral:rRNA from 1 species
CCUACGGGGGGCAGCAGUGGGGAAUAUUGCGCAAUGGGCGAAAGCCUGACGCAGCGACGCCGCGUGAGGGAUGAAGGUCUUCGGAUCGUAAACCUCUGUCAGCAGGGAAGAACGGUCACUGUGCUAAUCAGCAGUGAAUUGACGGUACCUGCAAAGGAAGCACCGGCUAACUCCGUGCCAGCAGCCGCGGUAAUACGGAGGGUGCGAGCGUUAAUCGGAAUUACUGGGCGUAAAGCGCUCGUAGGCGGUAUGUCAAGUCAAGGGGGAAAUCCCCGCGCUCAACGUGGGAACUGCCUUUGAAACUGGCAAACUGGAGUGUGUGAGAGGAUAGUGGAAGUCCAGGUGUAGGAGUGAAAUCCGUAGAGAUCUGGAGGAACAUCAGUGGCGAAGGCGACUAUCUGGCACAUAACUGACGCUGAGGAGCGAAAGCGUGGGUAGCAAACAGGAUUAGAUACCCUAGUAGUC